rnacentral:lncRNA from 1 species
UGAGAAUCCAAUGCCCUGAAAACCUAAGGGUUCCUUUGCAAGGUUCAACCACAGAGGGUGAGUUAAGGCCUAAGAUCAGACCGAAAGGCGUAGUCGAUGGACAACAGGUGAAUAUUCCUGUACUAUUCCUUGUUGGCCCCGAGGGACGAAGGAGGCUUGGUUCAGCCAAAAGCUGGUUAUCGGUUCAAGAACAUAAGGUGCCCUUGCUUUUUCAGGGUAAGAAGGGAUAGAGAAAAUGUCUCGAGCCAAUGUUUGAGCACCAAGCGUUAUGGCGCUAAAG